UACGUAGGUGGCAAGCGUUGUCCGGAUUUACUGGGUGUAAAGGGCGUGUAGGCGGAGCUGCAAGUCAGAUGUGAAAUCCCGGGGCUCAACCCCGGAACUGCAUUUGAAACUGUAGCCCUUGAGUAUCGGAGUGGCAGGCGGAAUUCCUAGUGUAGCGGUGAAAUGCGUAGAUAUUAGGAGGAACACCAGUGGCGAAGGCGGCCUGCUGGACGACAACUGACGCUGAGGCGCGAAAGCGUGGGGAGCAAACAGG
rnacentral:rRNA from 1 species